ACCUGCGGAAGGAUCAUUG
rnacentral:ncRNA from 431 species